rnacentral:tRNA from 1 species
UCCCUAGUGGCUCAGAUGGUAAAGAAUCUGCCUGCAAUACAGGAGACCCAGGUUCAAUCCCUGGGUUGGGAA